rnacentral:tRNA from 1 species
GCCUGGUUGGCUCAGUGGUUGAGCGUCUGCCUUUGGCUCAGGUUGUGAUCCCAGGGUCCUGGGAUGGAGUCCCACAUUGGGCU